rnacentral:rRNA from 1 species
UACGUAGGGUGCGAGCGUUGUCCGGAAUUAUUGGGCGUAAAGAGCUCGUAGGUGGCGGGGCACGUCGGGUGUGAAAGCCCGGGGCUUAACUCCGGGUCUGCAUUCGAUACGGGUCUGCUGGGGUCCGGCAGGGGAGACUGGAAUUCCUGGUGUAGCGGUGAAAUGCGCAGAUAUCAGGAGGAACACCGGUGGCGAAGGCGGGUCUCUGGGCCGGUACCGACGCUGAGGAGCGAAAGCGUGGGGAGCGAACAGG